rnacentral:rRNA from 1 species
AUUGAACGCUGGCGGCAGGCCUAACACAUGCAAGUCGAGCGGAUGAGAGGAGCUUGCUCCUUGAUUUAGCGGCGGACGGGUGAGUAAUGCCUAGGAAUCUGCCCAGUAGUGGGGGAUAACGUUCCGAAAGGAACGCUAAUACCGCAUACGUCCUACGGGCGAAAGCAGGGGACCUUCGGGCCUUGCGCUAUUGGAUGAGCCUGGGUCGGAUUAGCUAGUUGGUGAGGUAAUGGCUCACCAAGGCGACGAUCCGUAACUGGUCUGAGAGGAUGAUCGGUCACACUGGAACUGAGACACGGUCCAGACUCCUACGGGAGGCAGCAGUGGGGAAUAUUGGACAAUGGGCGAAAGCCUGAUCCAGCCAUGCCGCGUGUGUGAAGAAGGUCUUCGGAUUGUAAAGCACUUUAAGUUGGGAGGAAGGGCAGUAAGCGAAUACCUUGCUGUUUUGACGUUACCGACAGAAUAAGCACCGGCUAACUUCGUGCCAGCCGCCGCCGUAAUAC